ACGCUCGACACCUACGGGAGGCCGCAGUGGGGAAUAUUGCACAAUGGGGGAAACCCUGAUGCAGCGACGCCGCGUGAGCGAAGAAGUAUCUCGGUAUGUAAAGCUCUAUCAGCAGGGAAGAAGAUGACGGUACCUGACUAAGAAGCACCGGCUAAAUACGUGCCCGCAGCCGCGGUAAUCUGAGCGGGCUGGCAAGGC
rnacentral:rRNA from 1 species